rnacentral:rRNA from 1 species
GGGACGAACGCUGGCGGCGUGCUUAACACAUGCAAGUCGAGCGGUAAGGCCUUUCGGGGUACACGAGCGGCGAACGGGUGAGUAACACGUGGGUGAUCUGCCCUGCACUUCGGGAUAAGCCUGGGAAACUGGGUCUAAUACCGGAUAUGACCUCCUAUCGCAUGGUGGGUGGUGGAAAGAUUUAUCGGUGCAGGAUGGGCCCGCGGCCUAUCAGCUUGUUGGUGGGUAAUGGCCUACAAGGCGACGACGGGUA